rnacentral:rRNA from 1 species
GACGAACCGUGCGAACGUUGUUCGGAAUCACUGGGCUUAAAGGGCGCGUAGGCGGGCAAGCCAGUCCGGGGUGAAAUCUUUCGGCUCAACCGGAAAAGUGCCUUGGAUACUGCUUGUCUGGAGGGAGGUAGGGGCCCGUGGAACUUCCGGUGGAGCGGUGAAAUGCGUUGAUAUCGGAAGGAACGCCGGUGGCGAAAGCGACGGGCUGGAUCUCUACUGAGCUGAGGCGCGAAAGCCAGGGGAGCAAACGGG